GAUGAACGCUGGCGGCGUGCCUAAUACAUGCAAGUCGAGCGAACAGACGAGGAGCUUGCUCCUCUGACGUUAGCGGCGGACGGGUGAGUAACACGUGGAUAACCUACCUAUAAGACUGGGAUAACUUCGGGAAACCGGAGCUAAUACCGGAUAAUAUAUUGAACCGCAUGGUUCAAUAGUGAAAGACGGUUUUGCUGUCACUUAUAGAUGGAUCCGCGCCGCAUUAGCUAGUUGGUAAGGUAACGGCUUACCAAGGCUACGAUGCGUAGCCGACCUGAGAGGGUGAUCGGCGACACUGGAACUGAGACACGGUCCAGACUCCUACGGGAGGCAGCAGUAGGGAAUCUUCCGCAAUGGGCGAAAGCCUGACGGAGCAACGCCGCGUGAGUGAUGAAGGUCUUCGGAUCGUAAAACUCUGUUAUUAGGGAAGAACAAAUGUGUAAGUAACUAUGCACGUCUUGACGGUACCUAAUCAGAAAGCCACGGCUAACUACGUG
rnacentral:rRNA from 1 species